CUAUACAUGCAGUCGAGCGAAUGGAUUAAGAGCUUGCUCUUAUGAAGUUAGCGGCGGACGGGUGAGUAACACGUGGGUAACCUGCCCAUAAGACUGGGAUAACUCCGGGAAACCGGGGCUAAUACCGGAUAACAUUUUGAACCGCAUGGUUCGAAAUUGAAAGGCGGCUUCGGCUGUCACUUAUGGAUGGACCCGCGUCGCAUUAGCUAGUUGGUGAGGUAACGGCUCACCAAGGCAACGAUGCGUAGCCGACCUGAGAGGGUGAUCGGCCACACUGGGACUGAGACACGGCCCAGACUCCUACGGGAGGCAGCAGUAGGGAAUCUUCCGCAAUGGACGAAAGUCUGACGGAGCAACGCCGCGUGAGUGAUGAAGGCUUUCGGGUCGUAAAACUCUGUUGUUAGGGAAGAACAAGUGCUAGUUGAAUAAGCUGGCACCUUGACGGUACCUAACCAGAAAGCCACGGCUAACUACGUGCCAGCAGCCGCGGUAAUACGUAGGUGGCAAGCGUUAUCCGGAAUUAUUGGGCGUAAAGCGCGCGCAGGUGGUUUCUUAAGUCUGAUGUGAAAGCCCACGGCUCAACCGUGGAGGGUCAUUGGAAACUGGGAGACUUGAGUGCAGAAGAGGAAAGUGGAAUUCCAUGUGUAGCGGUGAAAUGCGUAGAGAUAUGGAGGAACACCAGUGGCGAAGGCGACUUUCUGGUCUGUAACUGACACUGAGGCGCGAAAGCGUGGGGAGCAAACAGGAUUAGA
rnacentral:rRNA from 1 species